AGAGUUGAUCAUGGCUCAGGACGAACGCUAGCUACAGGCUUAACACAUGCAAGUCGAGGGGUAGCAGGGUAGCAAUACCGCUGACGACCGGCGCACGGGUGAGUAACACGUAUCCAACCUUCCCAUAACUCAGGGAUAGCCUUUCGAAAGAAAGAUUAAUACCUGAUAGUACUUUUUCAAGGCAUCUUGAGAAAGUUAAAGAUUUAUUGGUUAUGGAUGGGGAUGCGUUCCAUUAGAUAGUUGGUGAGGUAACGGCUCACCAAGUCUUCGAUGGAUAGGGGUUCUGAGAGGAAGGUCCCCACAUUGGUACUGAGACACGGACCAAACUCCUACGGGAGGCAGCAGUGAGGAAUAUUGGUCAAUGGGCGAGAGCCUGAACCAGCCAAGUAGCGUGAAGGAUGAAGGUCCUAUGGAUUGUAAACUUCUUUUAUAGUAGAAUAAAGUGAUCCACGUGUGGAUUUUUGUAUGUAUACUAUGGAUAAGGAUCGGCUAACUCCGUGCCAGCCGCUGC
rnacentral:rRNA from 1 species